rnacentral:rRNA from 1 species
CCUACGAUGUGCAGCAGUGGGGAAUAUUGGACAAUGGGCGAAAGCCUGAUCCAGCCAUGCCGCGUGUGUGAAGAAGGCCUUCGGGUUGUAAAGCACUUUCAGUGGGGAAGAAAGCCUUGGGGCUAAUACCCUCGAGGAAGGACAUCACCCACAGAAGAAGCACCGGCUAACUCCGUGCCAGCAGCCGCGGUAAUACGGAGGGUGCGAGCGUUAAUCGGAAUUACUGGGCGUAAAGCGCGCGUAGGCGGUCUGAUAAGCCGGUUGUGAAAGCCCCGGGCUCAACCUGGGAACGGCAUCCGGAACUGUCAGGCUAGAGUGCAGGAGAGGAAGGUAGAAUUCCCGGUGUAGCGGUGAAAUGCGUAGAGAUCGGGAGGAAUACCAGUGGCGAAGGCGGCCUUCUGGACUGACACUGACGCUGAGGUGCGAAAGCGUGGGUAGCAAACAGGAUUAGAUACCCUAGUAGU